AUACGAAACUGAUAUGGGGGUUAACUGAGCUCCAAAACGUGGGAUACGAAAAAGAAUUAAAUGUCAUAUCUAUGUAGCAUUCUCAACUCCAUAGUGGCAGCACUGGCAACAGAAGUUGCAUGCAUGGAAGACAGUUUACGGAGAUAGCACGUUGUUGGACGUAUACGGAUGGCAGCAAGAAUUGGAAUCGUAAACAUGAUUUGUUUUGUAGCAGAAAUGAUAUCAACGGGAAUUGACAGUAAGUCAUGUAUGAACCACAUUGAUUCAACUGUGAAAGACAUAAUGUACAAUCAUGCAUAUGAAGAAUUAUUUGCACUCGACGUUGGUCCAGAAAAUCUAUUUAAAUGGCAACAAGGUGCUGUAAAAAAAUAUACUUUUUGGAUAUGUUGAGAAAGCUCAUAUAAGCGAGUUCCAAUGUAAAAAUUAAAGAAGUAAAGAAUGAAACUAAGGGCUGACAAAAGGAAAUGUCACAGAAAUGAUGAUAUUGCUUUAAAGGAUUUUUGGAUUCAUUUUGUACAUGUGUGAAUAGAAAACCAAUUGUCAGACCAACUGAAGAGGAAACUGCAGAAUUAGAAGUAAUACUAUGCAAAAGAAGCAGAAAAGGAAAUCCAUUCAAGAGAGCACUGUAUUACAUAACUUUUAAA